UACGUAGGGUGCGAGCGUUGUCCGGAAUUAUUGGGCGUAAAGAGCUCGUAGGCGGUUUGUCGCGUCUGCUGUGAAAACUCGGGGCUUAACUCCGGGCCUGCAGUGGGUACGGGCAGACUAGAGUGCGGUAGGGGAGACUGGAAUUCCUGGUGUAGCGGUGAAAUGCGCAGAUAUCAAGUGGAACACCAGUGGCGAAGGCGAGUCCCUGGACAACUCCUGACACUGAGGCACGAAAGCUAGGGGAGCAAACAGG
rnacentral:rRNA from 1 species